rnacentral:pre_miRNA from 1 species
AGGUUUCAAGUGAUUCAGCCAAGGAUGACUUGCCGGCAAAACCAUUUAAACUCUUUCUUCCUAGUUUCAAUUUCUUUUCAUCUCCAUCUAUUCUUAAGUUGGAUGAAUUAAAUUCCAAUAAUUUAACCAAUUCAAUUACGUUUACAGUACUCCAUGAAUUGUACUAGAAAAAAACUAAUCGUACAGUAAUGUUAUUCUAUUAUGGUUUACUUUUGGUCGGCAAGGCGUCUUUGGCUAUAUAACUUCCUCC